UAAAAAUAAUGUGCAUAUUUAAUUUAAAAAAUAGGUUUUCUGUGUUUUUUAUAAUAUAUUGCGAACAUUUCACUAAUAAAAUUAAUAAAUAAAUUUUACCUAUUUUUUUAAGGAAAUGAGUGCAAUUUGUAGGCUUAAUUUGAGGAACCAUUUAGGCUAAAAUUUUGAGGAAAAAAGGCUUCAUAUUUAUUUUAAGAGAAUUGGUCCAAUUAUCCGGGUUUGAUUGAGUCACCUUCAUUUGAAUCUCAACAACGGCAGUGAUCGGACAGCAUUUUGAAAGAGCAGACGAACAGUGUAAAAUGUUAAGAGAUCAUCGUGAGAGUCGUUGAAGCACCAUCUUUAAAAGCAUUUGAGUUUUCAACGGAAGUGGUAUUUUUCUACUACCUUAUAGCUACAUUUUCAGUUUAAGCAUGCUGCAUUUAAGAAUUUGAAAAGGUAGCUUGAGAUCAUGCUAUGGCGGUGUAAGGUUUGCCCAUGGACAUCAUCUUCAAAAGCGGGUCUUUUAAGGCACUAUAGACUACAGCAUGGGCCAUUUACACACAGCCAUACUAUACCUUGUCCACAUUACAGAUGUCCAUGCUCUUUCAAAACACAUGGUGCCCUUCGCACACAUAUGAGUAGAUAUCAUUUAGCUGAGGAAACUCUGGAGUCAGGAACAGUGCUUUCCUUUAACUGUAAAAUUUGUAAUACACCGCAUUCUUCCGAAAAGGACUAUUUUCAACAUUUAGGUCAACAUCUUAGGAGUUACGAAACGGUAGAAUGUGUUUUUUCUGGAUGUGAUUUUAAGACAAAUGUUUAUGGGACAUUUGUGACUCACAAAAGUAGAAAACACAAUCCCCAUUCCUCCAAUGAUUUUAAGGCAGAGGUGCUUGUGAUAAGCAAGUCCACACAGCAUUCAUUUGCCCCUGAUCCACACUGCGAGGAUUCAGAAGAAGUCCAAGGAGAAACUGAUGACCAGAUUCAAGAUGUGCCACAAACAGUUGUUAAUAAACUAGCUUUGCUGCUUUUGAAGCUGGAGAGUGUUUAUAAUGUUUCUUCUAGGUGUAUAGAUGACUUGGCGGGAGAGCUCCAGUUUAUUUCUUCCCUGGCAGCGCAACAAGAUGUACGAAACACUGUUGAGUCAAAUUUAAGGAAGAAUAACUGUGUUCUCAGUGAAGACAGUAUUAAUGAGUUUGUCAGUGAACUUUGUAAGAUCAACCCCAUAAAAUCAGCGCUAGAGGUAGGAGGUCCUCUUGGUUCUUCUUUUAAAAGAAGAUUAUAUUUUAAAGACAAUUUGAAAGUUGUUGAACCUGUGGAAUAUAUUUUGGAUGCCGCUGAGCGUAGACACUAUCAGUAUGUACCUAUUCUCCAGACAUUACAGCAAGUGUUGAAUAGCCAGCACAUGAACUUGGAUAGGUCUCAACAGAAUUCAGAAGUCCCUUUAACAUUUACAUCCUUUGUUAAUGGCAGAUAUUUUAGAGAAAAUGAAUUUUUUGCUGGAGAUGAGAAAAAAAUCUCUUUGAUACUAUAUGUUGAUGACUUUGAAGUGUGCAAUCCGCUUGGAACAUCCAAGAAAAAGCACAAAAUCACAGCGGUUUAUUGGGUUUUGGCAAAUUUGCCACCUGAAUUACGAUCUGCUCUUACAUCAAUACAUUUAGCUGUUCUCAGUAAAGCUGAUGAUGUAAAAAAGUUUGGAUAUGAAGUCAUUUUAGAACCACUUUUGAAUGAUCUUUCUACAUUGGAGCAGGAAGGAGUUUUCAUUGCUAAUUAUGGAAAAAACAUCAAAGGGACUGUGAUCAGUGUGGUAGCAGAUAACCUCGGUGCCCAUGCAAUUGGUGGUUUAGUUGAAAAUUUUACUGGGGAUUACAUCUGUCGAUUCUGUCUUGGCCGCCAUGCUGAAUUCCAGGAAAAGGAAGUGAGAUUAGGUGCUUUUCCUCCAAGAACAAAGAUGUCUUAUGCAGUCCAUGUUCAGACUGUGAAGGAUAAUCCUACACUCACCCACUCCUUUGGUGUCAAAAAGGUUUGUCCAUUUACUGACAAACUGAAGCAUUUUCAUUUCACUACUGGAUAUCCCCCGGACAUAGCCCAUGACUUGUUUGAAGGUGUCAUUCCUGUGGAGCUUGCACUGUGCCUCUCUGUCUUAGUGAAGAAGAAAUAUUUCACAUUGAGUGAACUCAAUGAGGCAAUUGCACUCUUUCCCUACAAAUGGACAGAUAAAACGAACAGUCCUCAUGCAAUCCCCAAAAAUUUUGCUGCACGUCGAAGUGUAGGCGGGAAUAUGCAUGAGAACUGGGCUCUUAUCAGACUUCUGCCAUUUUUGAUCGGAUCCAAAAUACCUGUAGAUGAACCUGCCUGGCAAAUUCUCAUGAAUUUGAAAGAUAUUGUUGAGCUGGUUGUGUCACCUGUCCACACUGCAGAAAGUAUUGGUUUUCUUGAUUCCAAGAUAUCAGAACAUCGACAUCAAUUUCUUGAACUUUUCCCACACGAAAGAUUGCUCCCAAAACACCAUUACUUGGAGCAUUAUUCUGAGUUGAUUGCGUCUUUUGGUCCAGUUGUUGGACUUUGGACCAUACGCUUUGAAUCUAAGCAUAGCUUUUUCAAGCGUGUAGUGAGACAUACUACAAAUUUCAAAAAUGUCUUGCUGUCUCUUGCUACAAGGCAUCAGCUAAUGAUGGCUUACCACUUACAUGCCACUUCUGAGAACACUUCAUUGCAUGUGAGUAAAGUUUCCAAUAUGCCAUUGGAACUUCUGCAUGAAGAGGUACAGCAGGCCAUAAGAAACAUUUCAGAUCAAACAAGUGUCUCUUUGACCACUUCAGUGUCUUACCUAGGUACAACAUACAGAGUAGGCAUGAUUCUGCCUUAUGGUUGCACUGGAGGUUUACCUGACUUUGCUGAAAUUAUGCAGAUUGUUGUUUUGGACAAAAGUCUUAGUUUCAUUGUCAAGACUUUUAGCUCUUGGUACAAUGAACAUUUGAGAUCUUACUGUCUUCAGUCAAGUGGGGAUGUACAACUUGUUGAGCACAAAGCACUUGUUGAUUGGUAUCCUCUGGCAGCUUAUUGUUUGGGUAAAAACCGCUUUGUCACCCUGAAACAUCAUAUCUGCUGUUCUUAUUAGAUGAUGGUAGUAUGAUUUGUACAAGAGGCUGCCAGUCCUUAAAAGGAUAAUUCAUAAGAAAAGUCUUAUGGGUUUUGAAAUAACACGAAGAUUAUGAAGAGUAAAAGAUAAGGAAUUUUCUUUUUUUUGGAUGAAAUAUCCUAUCCUUUUAACAUUCAGUCCAGCAUCCGUGGACACAUGUUUAGAAUGACAAUGUCAGUAAAAUAGUAGUAUUUAAGUAUUUAAGGAUUUUUCUCUCCAGUAUAAAGAUUCUGAAUUUGAUGACUUUUUUACCCUUACAUCCACUGACCAAAUUCAGCACAAGGAUACUAUAAAAGUUGUUUUCCCUACACCAGUUGUUCUUACACUCGUUGCUGAAAAUGAAGGAAACCCCAGUGCCAGUACGUCAGUUUCAGUAGAUGAAGUGUCCUCUGUUUCUUGCACUACAUGUCCACUUGAUGAUGUUGGCCAACAUCUAUCCACAUCCACUUCCUCUGGAGAUACAGUCAUCCUUUCUCCCCAAAGUAGCCCAGAUAGGUUGCCGUGGCCUCAGGAGUUUCCAAUUCCAUCUUUUUCUCCAGAAGUAGAGAUGGUUCUCAAAAAGGGCAUGGAGGCUUACAAGAAAGACGGCAGCCUUCUAAAUGUUCAAACUGUGAAGAGGGAUGUAAAUGAGCAUUUAGUAAAGGCUAUUCAUACCUACACAUCAUAUCCUUCUGGGAUUCAGGUUGCCAGUGUUGCUGAAGCACUUAUCCGAAAAUAUCCAUGUCUGAAGGAACCAGGCAGUUUUUCUGGCUUUUAUGGAUGGCAGAUGAGCCUAAAGUACAAGAUGGCAGAUUAUAGAAGACGACUCAGUAAGUUUGGUUUUCCUGAGGUUGCAUGUAACACACUGCAAAAGAAGAACCCUGAAGACAGGAAACCUGCAAAAAAUGUCAAAAAACCUCGUAAAGCGGAAGUGAAUUACUUACCACCAUACCCAGCAGGUGAAAAUCAGGACAGUUUAGAUCAAGAGAGGGUUCAACUCCUGACUGAAGUGAAAAAGCGGGACAAUGCAGUUGUGGUGAAAGAAAAAAUGUCAAAAACCUUUGCUCUCCGAAGACAUGAGGUGGUUGAAUUGUGCCCGACUGUUGCAGAAUUUAAAGAUCGCUGGCCUGCUCUGUUUGACAUUCUCCAGAUUAAUGAAGAGUUCAGGAGAAUUACUACUCUGCACCUUGAGCCAACAUUUAUUAAGAUGUUGGAUUACUACACUCCUAAACUUUUCACAAUAUUUUCCUGCAAAGGAGGAGCACUCGGACAGAUUUUGAAGAAGAAAAUGGGUGCCAUACAGCAGACCUCACAUCAAAACAUAGAAGAGACAAGAGAUGUUGUCCUCCGUUGCUUGGUCAAUUACUUGGGUGAAAAGGAGGAAGACCUCAUCCAGGAGUACAAUUGUGACAAUGAGGAUGUGCAGCAAAGUCUACUGCAGCAUGUAAUGAAAAUUGCUGUCUGCAAGAAGGAUGACCAGGAGGACUUUAGCAUUGUCUUGGAGGGUGUGCAAGUCAUGACUGGCUUGGGAAAUCUGACUAGAGCCUGCGCAAUUCUUCUUGGAUUCACAUAUGCACUAAACCUCACCUAUCCCAAACAACUGAGGAAUACGUUUGAGGCCUUUCAGAAGCUCUUCCUGGAACUGGAUGUUUGCAGGCUUUCCCCCAAAUUACAGUCUCUCAAAAACAAACUUGUGUGUUAGAUUGUGAGAGACACAUUCCAUUGUUACCAAGUUUUGGUGAAAAUGCCCAGCACUGGUUGAGGUAUUGAGAUUGUUCUACAGCUUGUUCUACAACAGGUUAUCUUGUUUUAUGCUAUCUAUGCACAAGUUAUCUCAGGUUUUAGUACAGAAUGUGACUAUUCCCACAAAAAAAGAUGUUAGCAUAUAAUGCUAAACAGUUGAUUUCAAUGACAUAAAUUGUCAGUUACAAACUGUUUACAGAUCUUAAAACUGCUGUAAAUGUUAUAUACACUAAUUUACAAAGUGUUUAAUGUUUUGGUACCAA